ensembl:lncRNA
CUCCAGGUCAAGCAGAUUGGUGGGGAGGUGGAUUGGCGUUACCUGGGAACAUCAGAUGGGCUUUAUGCUUACCAGAAAGGAGAAGAUCCCUGCAGGGAGAUGCUCAGACACCCCGAUGGUGGCGGUUUUCCCUUCCUAGAAAACUGGGUUAGAAAUAAGGCCAGUCCUGCUCUCGCUGGAACUGGCCUGGAUCCCUUCCAGGUGCCAAUCUCCUUUGCUAACUGCUCUCCACCGUCUCUACCUUCUCUCCCAUAUGGUGACCCAGUGCCUGGAUGAGGUUUGCACAAGCGGCCUGGGAAGCUGGAGAAAUCAGCAUUUCUGUGCUGGAAAAAAUGCCUUCUGGAUCAGAAAAGGAACGGGAUUUGCAAAUGGCUGAACUCAUCUAAGAUGGAACACACUUCAAGACAGAAGGCUGCUCUAGAGAAAAUAGAACUGAAUAUCCUAUAGUAAAAUCUAUAUGGGAAGUUUCACUCAAAAGCCAUCACUUACAGGAAAUCUAGAUAUUUUUCAUAGUAACGUUUCUGCUGUGGGGACCCAUCGAGGAGAGGGCACUGAGCCCUCUGAGGCUUGAAGAGCUGCAUAGUAAUUCUGUACACAGCAAUCCCAUUGCGUCACCAACGAAGCACCAGGCACCACUCAAAGGGCAUGCGCAAGCACACCCCUCCACACACCUCCUGCACAUCCCCUCCAAGUGCUCAGACCCCGUGAAGAAUUUAAGCUCACAUACAAUUAUGGUAUGAAGCCAAAAAUAGGCUGAGGAGCACUUGUCUGGCCCGAGCUUCCAGGAUAAGGGCAAAGGUUUCACAGCUCAAGCAAACAUCUGAUUGAAAUAGAAACAACCUGCCCCGGGUAUGCCAGCAAAGCCCCCUCACUGCCUCAAGCAUGAAUGGGAGCUGCAGCAUCGGCAUCCCAGCCCUGCAGGUCCACGCAGUGCCCUUUGGCUAACCCCAACUUCAGCUCCUCUUCUUAUCCCUCGGUCCUCCUCCCUGGAGGCACACAGAGCCUGGGUCAAAUGGUACAUCAGUGCCACAUGAGGAAUCAAUCAUGCAAUAGAAUCCUGAGCCAGACAGGAUUUGCAACUAUAUCCCAGACUCAAGUGGUGACUUUACACAGGACUGGAAGGUCCUUUCCUGAGCACUGGAAGCAGGCUCUGUUCCAAGCUCAGUAGUGUCGGCGUUAAUAGCACACUGCCAUAGAAGUAUGUAGUUGAGCACCAACUUUGAAGCCCAUGGGAUGCCAAACAACAGACUCCAGCAGCACUCUCACCUUGAGAAAGUGCAGAGUUUCUUUGUUAACUCUUUUUAGCAUAAUUUACCAAGCAACAUGGUGUCAGCAUUGCUCCAAUCUCUAUGCUCCUUCUUAAAUGGGAAGAGAGAAGAGAGGUCAAUAGCAAAGUCAAUAGCUGACUCUAAGGCAAUCCAGGCAGAAGUAAAUAUGAGAAUUAAAAGUAAAAAGGUUAUGAGGCUUUUGUUUUUGCUGCAUGAAUAUGAUUUCAAGGUCACGUGCUUUCAAAUCUCUGAACAACAGAGCAGACUGCAAACAAAAAUAGUUUUUUUGCAGGGUCUGCUUUAGGAUCUGAAGGGUAAUCACAGUAUCACAGCCCUGCAGGGGUUGGAAGAGACCACUGAAUCCAACCUCCUGCUAAAGCAGUUUCCUACAAUAUUCCUACAAUAGGUCAUACAGGUCAGCAUCCAGAUGGGUCUUGAAUAUCUCCAUAGAAGGAGACUCCACCACCUCUCUGGGCAGUCUGUGCCAGUGCUCCAUCACCCUUAUGGUAAAGUUCUUCUGCACGUUUGUACAGAACUUCCUAUGUACAAGUUUUAGGCCAUUGCUCCUUGUCCUAUUGCUAUGCAGCACCAAGAAGAGCCUGGCCUCAUCCAUUUGCCUCCCACCUCCCUUUAGAACAGUAAUCUAAAGAUGCCUCUAUCAGAACACUGCUACUUUUUUGUGAUUUUGAAGAUGCAGAGAUAAGAAGAAACACAACUGAGCAUGGGCCAACUGGCUUUCCAUACCCUACAAAAGGGGUUGGAAGUCUAAAAGUGACAGAAGAAAGUCUGAAACCCAAACUGUUUGGACUACAGCCACCUACCUACAACGCACAGCCCAGAUAUCUGCCUAGUGGCUUGCUGAUGUUAAAAGGGUAAACAUGUUGUACCUGCUUGGGACCAACUGCCUACUGUACAGAGCAAUAGGAAUAAUCAGCAGAAAGUGUACAUACAAAUGCCUGCAUAGACGGCCUCACUGCAUAGACGGCCUCACUGCAUAGACGGCCUCACUGCAUAGACGGCCUCACUGCAUAGACGGCCUCACUGCAUAGACGGCCUCACUGCAUAGACGGCCUCGGGAUGAAUCUCUGCUUCAAAUUAUCCACCACUUCUGCAGCAAAAGGAAAGCCUUCAGUGCUUACCAGCAUCCUUCUACAACGUGGAUCACAGUACCUAUGUGAUCUAACCAAGGAUGACAAAGCAAAGACAUCUGUAUAGAACUUUAUUAAAGUAGGCAUCACCCACAGUUCGCAGUAU